rnacentral:rRNA from 1 species
AUGAAGAGUUUGAUCCUGGCUCAGGAUGAACGCUGGCGGCGUGCUUAACACAUGCAAGUCUAGGAAAGACUUCGAGCUUGCUUGAAGUGGAAACUGGCGAACGGGUGAGUAACACGUAGAUAACCUACCCAUGGGCGGGGGAUAACGUCGAGAAAUCGGCACUAAUACCGCAUAUAAUUUCAGAUUGAUUUUCUGAAAUGAAAGGGGGCUUCGGCUCUCACCUUUGGAUGGGUCUGCGUCUGAUUAGCUUGUUGGUGAGGUAAUGGCUCACCAAGGCUACGAUCAGUAGCUGGUCUGAGAGGAUGAUCAGCCACAUUGGGACUGAGAUACGGCCCAGACUCCUACGGGAGGCAGCAGUGGGGAAUUUUGCGCAAUGGGCGAAAGCCUGACGCAGCAACGCCGCGUGACCGACGAAGCAUUUAGGUGUGUAAAGGUCUGUCGUUAGGGAAGAACAGAGUGGUGGUUAAUACCCUCCGCUUCUGACGGUACCUGACAAGAAAGCUCCGGCUAACUCCGUGCCAGCAGCCGCGGUAAUACGGGGGGAGCAAGCGUUAUCCGGAAUUACUGGGCGUAAAGGGCACGUAGGCGGGUUCUUAAGUCAGAUUUUAAAUCCAACAGCUUAACUGUUGACCUGGAUCUGAAACUGGGAGUCUUGAGUGUAAGAGAGGAAAGCGGAAUUCCUGGUGUAGCGGUGAAAUGCGUAGAUAUCAGGAAGA